GAUGAACGCUGGCGGCGUGCCUAAUACAUGCAAGUCGAGCGAACAGACGAGGAGCUUGCUCCUCUGACGUUAGCGGCGGACGGGUGAGUAACACGUGGAUAACCUACCUAUAAGACGGGGAAAACUUCGGGAAACCGGAGCUAAUACCGGAUAAUAUAUUGAACCGCAUGGUUCAAUAGUGAAAGACGGUUUUGCUGUCACUUCUAGAUGGAUCCGCGCCGCAUUAGAUAGUUGGUAAGGUAACGGCUUACCACGGCAACGAGGCGUAGGCGACCUGAGAGGGUGAUCGCCCACCCUGGAACUGAACCACGGUCCAGGCUCCUACGGGAGGCAGCAGUAGGGAAUCUUCCGCAAUGGGCGAAAGCCUGACGGAGCGACGCCGCGUGAGUGAUGAAGGUCUUCGGUUCGUAAAACUCUGUUAUUAGGGAAGAACAAAUGUGUAAGUAACUGUGCCCGUCUUGACGGUACCUAAUCAGAAAGCCACGGCUAACUACGUG
rnacentral:rRNA from 1 species